UUGCUCCUGGUGGCGAGUGGCGAACGGGUGAGUAACAUAUCGGAACGUAUCCAAUAAUGGGGGAUAACUAAUCGAAAGGUUGGCUAAUACCGCAUACGCCCUACGGGGGAAAGCAGGGGAUCUUCGGACCUUGCGUUAAUGGAGCGGCCGAAUCUGAUUAGCUAGUUGGUGGGGUAAAGGCCCACCAAGGCGACGAUCAGUAGCUGGUCUGAGAGGACGACCAGCCACACUGGAACUGAGACACGGUCCAGACUCCUACGGGAGGCAGCAGUGGGGAAUUUUGGACAAUGGGGGCAACCCUGAUCCAGCCAUUCCGCGUGAGUGAAGAAGGCCUUCGGGUUGUAAAGCUCUUUCGCAAGGGAAGAAACGUUACUGGUGAAUAACCAGUGAUAAUGACGGUACCUUGAUAAGAAGCACCGGCUAACUACGUGCCAGCAGCCGCGGUAAUACGUAGGGUGCGAGCGUUAAUCGGAAUUACUGGGCGUAAAGCGUGCGCAGGCGGUUUUGUAAGUCAGAUGUGAAAU
rnacentral:rRNA from 1 species